GCUAUACAUGCAAGUCGAGCGAGCUGAAUUCAAAGAUCCCUUCGGGGUGAUUUGUUGGACGCUAGCGGCGGAUGGGUGAGUAACACGUGGGCAAUCUGCCCUAAAGACUGGGAUACCACUUGGAAACAGGUGCUAAUACCGGAUAACAACAUGAAUCGCAUGAUUCAAGUUUGAAAGGCGGCGCAAGCUGUCACUUUAGGAUGAGCCCGCGGCGCAUUAGCUAGUUGGUGGGGUAAAGGCCUACCAAGGCAAUGAUGCGUAGCCGAGUUGAGAGACUGAUCGGCCACAUUGGGACUGAGACACGGCCCAAACUCCUACGGGAGGCAGCAGUAGGGAAUCUUCCACAAUGGACGCAAGUCUGAUGGAGCAACGCCGCGUGAGUGAAGAAGGUUUUCGGAUCGUAAAGCUCUGUUGUUGGUGAAGAAGGAUAGAGGCAGUAACUGGUCUUUAUUUGACGGUAAUCAACCAGAAAGUCACGGCUAACUACGUGCCAGCAGCCGCGGUAAUACGUAGGUGGCAAGCGUUGUCCGGAUUUAUUGGGCGUAAAGCGAGCGCAGGCGGAAUGAUAAGUCUGAUGUGAAAGCCCACGGCUCAACCGUGGAACUGCAUCGGAAACUGUCAUUCUUGAGUGCAGAAGAGGAGAGUGGAACUCCAUGUGUAGCGGUGGAAUGCGUAGAUAUAUGGAAGAACACCAGUGGCGAAGGCGGCUCUCUGGUCUGCAACUGACGCUGAGCUCGAAAGCAUGGGUAGCGAACAGGAUUAGAUACCCUGGUAGUCCAUGCCGUAAACGAUGAGCGCUAGGUGUUGGGGACUUUCCCGGUCCUCAGUGCCGCAGCAAACGCAUUUAAGCGCUCCGCCCUGGGGGAGUACGACCGCAAGUUUGAAACUCAAACGAAUUGAC
rnacentral:rRNA from 1 species